UAUACUUUACUCGGCGAUCAAAAAUAUCACUUCUUACUAGUUUUUACCAAGUAACAGUUACUUACAGGUAGAGAAUAACCAAUUUACUAAUUGUUUUGAGUAAAGCUAACUUGAUACACUCAAGUAACAAAUAACGGCUGGGGUCUGAGCAUGCGCAGAAGCGGACAGUCAGUCCAUCUUCGCGCUCAAGACACGGUGGCUCGAGCGGACUGGAAGCUGCGCAAUAAAGACUUAAGUUGUGAAAAGUCUCAUUUUGUCUUCUGAAGAACAAUAAGAGAAAGUGCUGACGUCAACUGCCGGAGGGAGGGGCCGUUCACUAAAGGUGUUUGCCGAGUUCAACCGGAUCUCCACCACAAACCUGCAUAAUAACUUCUUUGAUGCUCUGGACCGCUUCACAUCCCGCUUUGUAGCAAUCUUCAAGUCCAAGAAAGGAAGCGUUGGAGAGACAUUGGCUGAGUUAUUGCAGCAAAUUGAU